rnacentral:rRNA from 1 species
AUUGAACGCUGGCGGAAUGCUUUACACAUGCAAGUCGAACGGCAGCACGGACUUCGGUCUGGUGGCGAGUGGCGAACGGGUGAGUAAUAUAUCGGAACGUGCCCAGUCGUGGGGGAUAACGUAGUGAAAAUUACGCUAAUACCGCAUACGACCUAUGGAUGAAAGCGGGGGACCUUUGGGCCUCGCGCGAUUGGAGCGGCCGAUAUCAGAUUAGGUAGUUGGUGGGGUAAAGGCUCACCAAGCCAACGAUCUGUAGCUGGUCUGAGAGGACGACCAGCCACACUGGAACUGAGACACGGCCCAGACUCCUACGGGAGGCAGCAGUGGGGAAUUUUGGACAAUGGACGCAAGUCUGAUCCAGCCAUUCCGCGUGCAGGACGAAGGCCUUCGGGUUGUAAACUGCUUUUGUACAGAACGAAAAGGUUUCUACUAAUACUAGGAGCUCAUGACGGUACUGUAAGAAUAAGCACCGGCUAACUACGUGCCAGCAGCCGCCGUAA